UACAGAGGGUGCGAGCGUUAAUCGGAAUUACUGGGCGUAAAGCGUGCGUAGACGGUUAUCUAAGUCGGAUGUGAAAGCCCCGGGCUCAACCUGGGAAUUGCAUUCGAGACUGAAUAGCUAGGGUGCGGUAGAGGGAAGCGGAAUUUCCGGUGUAGCGGUGAAAUGCGCAGAUAUCAGGAGGAACACCAAUUGCGAAGGCAGCUCGCUGGGACGUUACUGACGCUGAGACGCGAAAGCGUGGGGAGCAAACAGG
rnacentral:rRNA from 1 species